UCCAUAUGUCCUAGUUCCAGCCUUCUCCACACCCAGAGCAGGUGGGAUGCAGGGAGCAGACUGAGGGACAGACACUUCAAUCUUUGUUAGGAAGCUAUCACUCUUCCCAAAACUGGCCAAGAUGGUGGCAAGAUUGAUGUUCCCCAUCUCAGCUCUACAAUGGGUCAACUAAGUGGCCUUGGGGAAGACAAGGAAUCAGUCAAAGCAUUCUUCACAGGGAGAAAGGACCAGGACAUUUUAUCAGGUCAUGAUUGGAAGGGAGGAGUUCCAAAACAACCACAUAGAUUAGAGGUGACAAAGAUACCUCCAUCACCAUCUAUACUAAAUGCAUCUAAUUUGAAAGAAUAGAAAGUCUUCAUGGUCCCCUGGGAGGUAGAUUCUAAGAUGGAAUCAUAAGGGCUGGAGAAUUUUUAAGGAAGGGAGAAGAAGGGAGGACCUAAGAAGAAAUGGAGUAGACAAACCAUAUUUGUGGAAAGCAGUCAAUUGCUGAGGCAGGAGAGAGAAGAAAGGCUCUGUGAGAAGAGAAGCAAGGAUACUACUUGACCUUUGUGGCCCAGCAGGAAGCAAAGGGCUGGUUACCUACUUUCACAUAAAUCUGUCAUGAGGAACUUCAUUGCAUGCCAAGAAAGAUUCCAAAAAAAUCCUUAAACACAA